UACAGAGGUCUCAAGCGUUGUUCGGAUUCAUUGGGCUUAAAGGGCGCGUAGGCGGGCCGCCAAGUUCGAGGUGAAAUCCUCCGGCUCAACCGGAGAACUGCCUCGAAUACUGGAGGCCUCGAGGCGGGUAGGGGCGUGCGGAACUGUGGGUGGAGCGGUGAAAUGCGUUGAUAUCCACAGGAACUCCGGUGGCGAAGGCGGCACGCUGGACCCGAUCUGACGCUGAGGCGCGAAAGCCAGGGGAGCAAACGGG
rnacentral:rRNA from 1 species